CCUCAGCCCUGGAGCAGUGCUUGCCACACAGUAGUUGCUCAGUAAAUGUUUGUAGAACAAAGAGAAGAGGAGACUCAAUUGGCAUCUGAAUCCAAACCGUCGCAAAAGGGAGGAAUAACAAGAACUGGGGACUUAAAUGUACCCAGGGCUCACUUCGAUCAUCUGUAUGCCAUUCUAUCUGGUGUCCCCUUCAUGCUCUCAAUGAUCCACAUAACGGCUGCCUUUGAAGCGCCAGGCUUACCUUAUCACAACUCCACAACCAGAGGGCAAGGGGUUUCUCUCUCUCAGUUCCAGGUCACAGCACCCCGGUUUUUCAGAUUCAGGAAGGAUGCUAGACACUGGGAACACUGAGCUUUGAGCUGAGGAGGAAUUUUCUAGCUGGUACCUUCCUGAAGAAAGUGAAGCACAAGCUAGACUCCUUCUCCAACAAAAAUAACCCAGAAGUUUGGUGCCUGAGGAUUGUUAAAGCCAAGGGCUACACUGGGGGAAUCAUUAUUCAGAUGCCCCAAUAAUCCAAUGCAGAUCGUGACAUCAGCGACCAAAGUAUCAAAUGAGCUGCUUACUCUAAACUAAAUCAACCUUUGAAGAUGAAAAGCUUAGAUCAGGCUGUGGAUUACUCUCAACCGAAGUUGGCAAGGAGGAAUUUUUUCCUGAUGUUCAUAAGGUUCCUUCCAUGGUAGUCACUGAGCAUCAUGAGAGCUGCUCUUGAGAAAAUCGUCAAAGCCCAGAAUGUUCCUGCAUCCCUCUUGUGGCCCAUUUUGCUUCUCACGACAGCACUCUCCUCACACAGAGGAACCCGAUGGUGUUCUCGAACCCCUUGAUUCCUAUUCAUUUGCCCUGUCUGCUACAUUUCUUUCUCAACCUCCUGCCUUUGCCACAAAGAUCAAUACUCAGGCCUGGCAAAGCUUUCAAAUGGCUCCUGGCAUGAUAAAAGGUUAGUUUUCAAAAACACAGUGUUCUCAGAAUACGAGGCCAUCAAAAUAGCUAGUUUAAUCUUGAGACACCAGGAACUAAAGAAGUGUUAUCUAUAUGACA
rnacentral:lncRNA from 1 species